GACGAACGCUGGCGGCGUGCUUAACACAUGCAAGUCGAACGGAAAGGCCCCUUCGGGGGUACUCGAGUGGCGAACAGGUGAGUAACACGUGAGUAACCUGCCCUUGACUUCGGGAUAACUUCGGGAAACUGGGGCUAAUACCGGAUAGGAAUCCUUGCUGCAUGGUGGGGGUUGGAAAGCUUCGGCGGUUUUGGAUGGACUCGCGGCUUAUCAGCUUGUUGGUGGGGUAGUGGCUUACCAAGGCUUUGACGGGUAGCCGGCCUGAGAGGGCGACCGGCCACAUUGGGACUGAGAGACGGCCCAGACUCCUACGGGAGGCAGCAGUGGGGAAGAUUGCACAAUGGGCGGAAGCCUGAUGCAGCAACGCCGCGUGCGGGAUGACGGCCUUCGGGUUGGAAACCGCUUUCAGCAGGGGCGAAGCUUGUGGUGACGGUACCUGCAGAAGAAGCACCGGCUAACUACGUG
rnacentral:rRNA from 1 species